rnacentral:rRNA from 1 species
GGUUAAGUGACUAAGCGUACACGGUGGAUGCCUUGGCAGUCAGAGGCGAUGAAAGACGUAGUAACUUGCGAUAAGCCCAGAUUAGGUAGUAACAACCAUUUGAGUCUGGGAUUUCUGAAUGGGGAAACCCACUUACAUAAGUAAGUAUCAUUAACUGAAUACAUAGGUUAAUGAGGCGAACCGGGGGAACUGAAACAUCUAAGUACCCCGAGGAAAAGAAAUCAACCGAGAUUCCGAAAGUAGCGGCGAGCGAAAUUGGACUAGCCCUUAAGCUUUACACGCGUUAGACGAACGGUCUGGAAAGUCCGACGAUACAGGGUGAUAGUCCCGUAGUUGACGACGUGUGUUCAGUGAAAUCGAGUAGGGCGGGACACGUGAUAUCCUGUCUGAAUAUGGGGGGACCAUCCUCCAAGGCUAAAUACUACUGACUGACCGAUAGUGAACCAGUACCGUGAGGGAAAGGCGAAAAGAACCCCUGUGAGGGGAGUGAAAUAGAACCUGAAACCGUGUACGUACAAGCAGUAGGAGCAGGCUUUGUCCUGUGACUGCGUACCUUUUGUAUAAUGGGUCAGCGACUUAUAUUCAGUGGCAAGGUUAACCAUCUAGGGGAGCCGUAGGGAAACCGAGUCUUAACUGGGCGUUCAGUCUCUGGAUAUAGACCCGAAACCAGGUGAUCUAGCCAUGGGCAGGUUGAAGGUUGAGUAACAUCAACUGGAGGACCGAACCGACUAAUGUUGAAAAAUUAGCGGAUGACUUGUGGCUAGGGGUGAAAGGCCAAUCAAACCUGGAGAUAGCUGGUUCUCCCCGAAAGCUAUUUAGGUAGCGCCUCGGACGAAUACUACUGGGGGUAGAGCACUGUUAAGGCUAGGGGGUCAUCCCGACUUACCAACCCUUUGCAAACUCCGAAUACCAGUAAGUACUAUCCGGGAGACACACGGCGGGUGCUAACGUCCGUCGUGGAGAGGGAAACAACCCAGACCGCCAGCUAAGGUCCCAAAUUACUACUAAGUGGGAAACGAUGUGGGAAGGCUCAGACAGCCAGGAUGUUGGCUUAGAAGCAGCCAUCAUUUAAAGAAAGCGUAAUAGCUCACUGGUCGAGUCGGCCUGCGCGGAAGAUGUAACGGGGCUAAGUAGUAAACCGAAGCUGCGGCAAUGUGCUUUUGCACAUUGGGUAGGGGAGCGUUCUGUAAGCGGUUGAAGGUGUGUGGUAACGCAUGCUGGACGUAUCAGAAGUGCGAAUGCUGACAUGAGUAACGAUAAAGGGGGUGAAAAACCUCCUCGCCGGAAGACCAAGGGUUCCUGUCCAACGUUAAUCGGGGCAGGGUAAGUCGACCCCUAAGGCGAGGCCGAAAGGCGUAGUCGAUGGGAAACGGGUUAAUAUUCCCGUACUUCUUACAAUUGCGAUGGGGGGACGGAGAAGGCUAGGUGGGCCUGGCGACGGUUGUCCAGGUUCAAGUGCGUAGGCUUAAGAGUUAGGUAAAUCCGGCUCUUUUUAAGGCUGAGACACGACGUCGAGCACCUACGGGUGUGAAGUCAUUGAUGCCAUGCUUCCAGGAAAAGCCUCUAAGCUUCAGAUUGUAAGGAAUCGUACCCCAAACCGACACAGGUGGUCGGGUAGAGAAUACCAAGGCGCUUGAGAGAACUCGGGUGAAGGAACUAGGCAAAAUGGUACCGUAACUUCGGGAGAAGGUACGCUCUCGACGGUGAAGUCCCUUGCGGAUGGAGCUAUUGAGAGUCGCAGAUACCAGGUGGCUGCAACUGUUUAUUAAAAACACAGCACUGUGCAAAAUCGUAAGAUGACGUAUACGGUGUGACGCCUGCCCGGUGCCGGAAGGUUAAUUGAUGGGGUUAGACUUCGGUCGAAGCUCUUGAUCGAAGCCCCGGUAAACGGCGGCCGUAACUAUAACGGUCCUAAGGUAGCGAAAUUCCUUGUCGGGUAAGUUCCGACCUGCACGAAUGGCGUAAUGAUGGCCACGCUGUCUCCACCCGAGACUCAGUGAAAUUGAAAUCGCUGUGAAGAUGCAGUGUACCCGCGGCUAGACGGAAAGACCCCGUGAACCUUUACUACAGCUUGGCACUGAACAUUGACCCUACAUGUGUAGGAUAGGUGGGAGGCUUUGAAGCACGUACGCCAGUAUGUGUGGAGCCGUCCUUGAAAUACCACCCUUGUAGUGUUGAUGUUCUAACGUCGACCCCUAAUCGGGGUUGCGGACAGUGCCUGGUGGGUAGUUUGACUGGGGCGGUCUCCUCCCAAAGAGUAACGGAGGAGCACGAAGGUGGGCUAAUCACGGUUGGACAUCGUGAGGUUAGUGCAAUGGCAUAAGCCCGCUUGACUGCGAGAAUGACAAUUCGAGCAGGUGCGAAAGCAGGUCAUAGUGAUCCGGUGGUUCUGAAUGGAAGGGCCAUCGCUCAACGGAUAAAAGGUACUCCGGGGAUAACAGGCUGAUACCGCCCAAGAGUUCAUAUCGACGGCGGUGUUUGGCACCUCGAUGUCGGCUCAUCACAUCCUGGGGCUGAAGUCGGUCCCAAGGGUAUGGCUGUUCGCCAUUUAAAGUGGUACGCGAGCUGGGUUUAGAACGUCGUGAGACAGUUCGGUCCCUAUCUGCCGUGGGCGUUGGAAGAUUGAAGGGGGCUGCUCCUAGUACGAGAGGACCGGAGUGGACGAACCUCUGGUGUUCGGGUUGUGUCGCCAGACGCAUUGCCCGGUAGCUAAGUUCGGAAUCGAUAACCGCUGAAAGCAUCUAAGCGGGAAGCGAGCCCUGAGAUGAGUCUUCCCUGAUACUUUAAGUAUCCUAAAGGGUUGUCGGAGACUACGACGUUGAUAGGUCAGGUGUGUAAGUGCUGUGAGGCAUUGAGCUAACUGAUACUAAUUGCCCGUGAGGCUUAACCAU